UACAGAGGGUGCGAGCGUUGUUCGGAAUUACUGGGCGUAAAGCGCGCGCAGGCGGCUCUUUAAGUCUGACGGUGAAAUGCCGGGGCUCAACCCCGUGCCCGCCGCGGAUACUGGAGGGCUGGAGACACGUAGAGGCAAGCGGAAUUCCGGGUGUAGCGGUGGAAUGCGUAGAGAUCCGGAAGAACACCGGAGGCGAAGGCGGCUUGCUGGGCGUAGUCUGACGCUGAGGCACGAAAGCGUGGGGAGCGAACAGG
rnacentral:rRNA from 1 species